GCAUCCGUAGCUCAGCUGGAUAGAGUACUCGGCUACGAACCGAGCGGUGGAUAGAGUACUCGGCUACGAACCGAGCGGUCGGAGGUUCGAAUCCUCCCGGAUGCACCA
rnacentral:tRNA from 1 species